rnacentral:rRNA from 1 species
GGAAUGCGUAGGGCAGGGGAGACAUUACCGAGUACUACGUUGCUCAACGAUUUGGGAAUAUCCCACCUGUUGCUUCGGCGGCGCCCCCCCGGGGGUGCGCCCCGGUAUCCUCAACCGCCGUUUUUAAACCCGAGCAGGGAGGUGACUGUUCUUGGGGAACUGUCAAAACUUUCAACCACGGAUGUCUUGGCUCCAGCAUCGAUGACUAACGCAACGAAACGCCAUCUGUAAUGUGAAUUGCAUAAUUCUAUGAAUCUUCGAAUCUUUGAACGCGCUUGGGGCCUUCCAGAAUCCUGGGAGGCAUGCCUGUCCGAGCGUCGUUUCAACCCUCGAGCCCCCGUGGCCCGGCGUUGGGGAUCUGCCACGGCAGGCCCCGAAAUAAAGCGGCGGACCCGCUGGGCCCUCUCCUUUGCGUAGUAGCAUCAUCCUCGCAUCAGGAGCCCGCGUGGCAUCCUGCCCCUAAACCCCCCCAAAGCCCGCACCCGGAGGCACCCAGGUUGACCUCCGAUCAGGUAGGAAUACCCGCUGAACUUAGGCAUAUCACUCCCACGAGAGGAAGUCGUCGUCCCCCUCAAAAGGGACAAUUAUAACCCCACAAGGUUGACCUCGGAUCAGGUAGGAAUACCCGCUGAACUUAAGCAUAUCAAUAAUCGGAGGACAA